UACGGAGGGUGCUAGCGUUGUUCGGAAUCACUGGGCGUAAAGCGCGUGUAGGCGGCCCACUAAGUCUGAUGUGAAAGCCCGGGGCUCACCCCCGGAAGUGCAUAGGAAACUGGUGGACUCGAGUCCCGGAGAGGAGAGUGGAAUUCCUGGUGUAGCGGUGAAAUGCGUAGAUAUCAGGAGGAACACCGGUGGCGAAGGCGGCUCUCUGGACGGUGACUGACGCUGAGACGCGAAAGCGUGGGGAGCAAACAGG
rnacentral:rRNA from 1 species